rnacentral:rRNA from 1 species
UACAGAGGGUGCGAGCGUUGUCCGGAAUCACUGGGCGUAAAGGGCGCGUAGGUGGUGGCUUAAGCGUGCGGUGAAAGCUCGGAGCUCAACUCCGAGUCGGCCGUGCGAACUGGGCUCACUGGAGCAUAGUAGAGGCAGGUGGAAUUCCGGGUGUAGCGGUGGAAUGCGUAGAGAUCCGGAAGAACACCGGUGGCGAAGGCGGCCUGCUGGGCUAUGGCUGACACUGAGGCGCGACAGCGUGGGGAGCAAAAGGG